UUGAGAUGUGACAUGAAAGAAAAUAACAGAAAUGAUUUUUCUAUCCCAUCCUCAGGGACCAGUGGGAAUGAAUUUUACCAUCCCACCCUCAAGGGCCAGGAUUGGAAGUGAUAUUGGUGGAAGACAACAUUUUGCCGCUUGGAAUUCUCACCUCCACACCAAAGAAGUACUGUUUUUGUCAUUUGCACCAGCUUCUUUCUCCAGGAAAGAUCAAAACGAUGCACUGCAAUGGCUUCAGAGGUUAUUAGCACAUCUGUUUGAGAUAUGCACAGUUUUACAUUUGUCCCUUAGGUAAUCAACAGGGCUGAGAUCAGUAAAUCACAUGUAAAGACGACUUCCUGGGAACUCUUCUGGGAGUGAAUGUUAUCAGCAAAUUCCCAAAACAACACCCCUUAGACAAAAAGCCUCCUCACCUAUGCAUUGCCUAGGCCACCCACUAAAGUGAUGGCCACAAAGAGGUGGAUUUGUUGAGUUGGUGCCAUUCCUUCUACUGCCAGCUUCACCAAAACAAUGACACAGUCUUCCUUCUGCAUGGAGACUCUUCUCUUUCCUGUGUUGCAGUGGAUGCCUCCUGCAGAUAAGAAAUGCUUAACUGAGAAAUGCUCAUGUUGGGAUAUCAUCGAUGAGACUUUAAUUUGGGCAUGGUGACUGUUUCCCUUGCUGCCACUUGACUCAAUCCCAGGAGCCUCAGUAGAGGAUAUAAUAUUACACAAGAUGCUCAAAAUGGUGGAAUUGCUCAGUGCUCCCAUAGAUAUACAUUUAUAAUUUUCAUUUGCCACAUGGUAAACUGAAAAGUACAGACUAUAUUAAAAAGAAACUGCAUGAUUUUUUUUCAAAAAUUCAAAGCAUAUUUAAAUAAUAUAUAAAUUAAAUGCCCUCCUCUCUUCCAAUUCUGUCCCUAUAGUUUUCCUCUAUUAAGUGAACUACAUGCAUUCUUUUAGUGGAUAGAUGCACACAAACACACAAGCCAUUAUGGGGAAGGAUCCACGUGUGUGGCCAUAUUGUAACACAUUUUUCUGCAAAUUACCUCUCAUUUAACAGCCCUUAUUCAAUGGCCUUUUUCUUUUUCAGUAGUACAUACACAUCUGUCAUUUGUUGAAUGACGACAUGAAUGUUUUGUAGAUAAAAUAUAAUUAAAUGUUUUAAGCAUUUCUCACUCAUAGAUAUUUAUGUUAGCACCAAAUUUCUGUGCAAUGAACCUCCCUAUAUAUCAGUAAUUUUGCAUUUGUCUAUAAUAUCAUAAUAAAUUACUUAUCAGUUGAAUUACUGGGAUUAAGUAUGUGCACACUUUAUAUUUAUAUUUUGAAAAUUAUUGCAAGAUUGCCUUCAAAAAUGUGGUUAACAACUUUAUCUUCAAAUGGCAAUGAAUGAGAUUGCCAGCUUUCCUACAACCUCACAGACAAUGGAUUUUAUAAAUAUUUAACAUUUUUGCCAAUGUGAUCACCCAAACUAUUGUCUUAAAUUGUAUUUCUUUUGUUUUUGAGUUUGGUCAUUUUUUCAUGUUUAUUAGCCAUCUGUAUUUUUUAAUUUCUUCUUUAUGUCCAAUUUUGUGGGUGGGAGGAGGAUUUAGUCUCUUCCUGAUUUUGAAGAGCUCAUUUACUAUUUCGGGAAAUAAGAUUUGGAUCGUCAACCAUUAUAGCUAUUUUUUACACACUUUUCAACUUUGUUUUUGUUAUAAGAAUGUGUAUGAUUGUUACAUGUCCAAGUAUAACCAUGUUCGCUUUUAUGGCUUCUGAGUUUCAUGUCAUUUUUGGAAAGAUAUAUAUAUUGAGUCCAUAAAACCCUUCACCUAUGUUAAAUUCUAAUUCUUUUGUGUUUUUUUAAUUCAAAUUCUUAAAUCAUGAGAAAUUUUUUUGUUUUGAAAUCUUAAAGUUGCCAAGUUACUUGCCAUUACUUGCGAUUAUUUGCCAAUAAUUGCCCAUUUAUCUGUACCGCCAUCUUGCACAUAUGCUGUACUCUCAUCUGUGACUGGCUCCAUUUUUGUUCUGUGGAUUUGUGUGUCUCUUCUUCUGCCUCCUGUCUCGUGUCUUCUCGUUGGAAGAAAUUACAGUUUAGACUGCAAUUUCAUCAACUUUAAUAAAUCAAUUGAGGGGAGAAUUGGUUUUUAAAAAUAUUAAGUAAGUCUUCGUAUCCAAGGACAAGGUAUGUCUUUUGUUAUUCAAUAAUUUUAAUUACUGUUAAUAUUUUCACUGUGGUGAUGGGAGUUUUUCUUUUAAUUUAUUUUCUUGUUCAUUUUUUAUAUCUAAAGUUUUUGUUUUGUUUUGUUUUGGGGGUAAGUUGUCACCUUACUGUUUCUUGUUGCUUUUCAGAUUUUUUCAAAGUAUAGACUAAAUCCUUCACAAAUAUUUAAAGUUUUUAUUUUCCCCCUUCAUAUUGAUCCUGAUUUUAGUUAUGUUGACAAAGUCCACAGACUGUUACUAUCAGAACACUUGAACAGUUAAGGAAAUAUUACCUACCCUUGAUUUAAUCAGAGUUUAAUGGUAUGCUUCUUUGGUUUGACUGGCACAUUGUCGCUGGUCAUUUCCUCCCAAAGACCACCAGAAAGAGCUAUGAUCAAGCAAAGCUGAGUUUGUUAAACUUACCUGCAGCAAGGGAAAACACCACCUUGAUAGGGUUUAAUAAUGUUUCAAAAUCAAGAAAUGAGGCUUUGGGGUCUGGGCAGGGAACUAAUUAGAAAUGGGCAAAAUUUGUCAUGCAAUACCUUAAGAUUUGUGGGAAAGUGAGAUGAGGUUCUUAAUGUGAGUAUUGAUGGUGAAAUCAUUUUCUAGGUGAGCUGUUUGCCUAUAUAAAGAUGUUAUCAAUGAUAGAAGAACUAUUUGCCUAGAUAAACAAACUGAAUUUAUUUAUUGGUUUACAGUUUUAUCUUGCUGGGCAGGACUCUGCUGGGGGUGGUAUCAGGUCUUAUUCCCAAUAGGUAAGUUAUUUGGAUGUGGGUGGUCUUAAUCAUCAAUGUGUAAAAUGCUGAUUUUAAGUGCGAAAUACUUUGUCUACCAUGUUAGGAAAGUCUGCCACCUUUUAUCUUUUUUAAGGAAUUUUAAUCAAAACCAGGUGGUAGAUAUAAUCAAAUUUUUUUGCAGAAUCAAUUUUCCUGUUCUUUUUAAAGACUUUUAUCACUGUGAAUUAAUUUACUAUUACUGCAACUUCCCUUUUAUUCCUUGAAUGAACAGACCCUACUGGUUUUAAAAAUGUUUUAUUCUUUUAAUUUACUACUUAAUUGUGGGUAUUUUAAUUUGAUUUGGAAUUUUUACAAGUAUACAACUAAGUGAAAUUGAUCUGUGAUUUUUCUUUUUUGUGCUAUUUUUGUCAUGUUUUGAUAUCAGAUAUUCUGGUUGUGUUAAAAUAAUUUUGAGGAUUUUCUUCUUAUACUGUGUUCUAGAGUGGGUAAAAAAGCCCUAGUCUCACUAUCAGUGUUUAAGUGAACACAUCAGUGACAUCAUCUGGACUCUCCUUUGUUUUUGCUCGUUUGGAGUUAGGACAUCUAGAAGUUUUUUUCUUUUUUUCCUUUUUUUUGUAUGGUUAUUGCUUGUUCUUUGUUUUGUGUCAAAUUUAACCUGUUUUCUCUUAGCAAAUCACAGCUCAUGCAGAUUUUCAAACACAUUAGCAUUGUUAUACAAAGUGUUCUUUCAUCAUUCUAUUAAAUUUCCAUUUUCAUUCCAGUUAUAGUNNNNNNNNNNAUAGUUAUUUCUGCUGUGCCUUUGUUAAUGAAUAAGUUUAAACAGUGGAUGUUUAGCAUCACUAGCCUUCCCCUUCCAUCUCCCUUAAUCAGGUCUUUGGUAUAAUUUAUCAGGUAUUUUUUAAGGUUCUAAUUUACUUAUAUAUAUUGUUUCUGUAUUCUUUUGUUUCUUUUCUUAAUAAAUUCUUAAACCUGUGUAACACAUUCAUAUUCACUUGUUCUUGGCAAUGAAAGAUUUACCCUGCUGUGCAUUUUAUAAAACUUGUCAUUAUGAACACAUUGUAAACAUACAGUGUAUGAGGAGAACAGUGAACUAGCACAUACAAGGAACUGGAACUGGUUCCAUCAUUUUCAGUAUUUUGACAUAUUUACUUUGUGUUUAUUUUAAGUAUUUUCAAAUAAGCUAGAGAAAUCUUAACACUUCUUA
rnacentral:lncRNA from 1 species